UACGAAGGGGGCUAGCGUUGUUCGGAAUUACUGGGCGUAAAGCGCACGUAGGCGGAUAUUUAAGUCAGGGGUGAAAUCCUGGAGCUCAACUCCAGAACUGCCUUUGAUACUGAGAGGCUUGAGUCCGGGAGAGGUGAGUGGAACUGCGAGUGUAGAGGUGAAAUUCGUAGAUAUUCGCAAGAACACCAGUGGCGAAGGCGGCUCACUGGCCCGGUACUGACGCUGAGGUGCGAAAGCGUGGGGAGCAAACAGG
rnacentral:rRNA from 1 species